AACCAUUUAGAAAUGUAAAAACUAUUCUUAGAUUAUGGGUAUAAAAGCAUGUUGUGAGCCAGAUUUGGCUGCUGAGCUAGACUGGACUCAUGGGCCACAAUUUGUUGUUCCCUGAUCAGGAGCAGGGGCCUGGAGUCAGAUUUCCUGGAUUUCAGUUCUAUCACCACUCACUAGUUGCAUGACAUUAGGGUAUUUUCUUAAUUUGUUUUCGUUGCAUUCUGCUCAACUGUAAAAUAGGGCUAAUGCCAGUAUUUACCUCCUACUGUACUUGUGAAGAUCAAAUGAGAAAAACACCAUGCUCUUAGUGCUCAUUAAGUGGUAGCUAUUUAUGGGCACCUGGUAACUAUUAUAUUUAUGGGGAAAGCAGUACUUGGGCUGGGUCCUAAAAGAUGGGAAUAGUUUCAACUAACAGAGAAAAAAUCUGGACGGAAGGAACAGUGGGCAAGGUGAUAUGGGUCAGGAAAGCAAAGGGCCUGUUCUGAGAGGAGUGAAGGAUGCUUACUUGGAAACGCCAGGACUGGCUGAUUUAAGGCAAAAAGGAACUUUUAAAAGGGUUGUUGGAUAGUUCACAGAAUCACCGUGAUGGCCUAAAAACCAGGUGGGGAGGCUGUGCAGCCUGGAGCAGUACUGGUUGCCCCAGUGAAGAACCACAAGGAAAAUGCUGCUGCCACCGGAGGGUGGGGGUUGCACUUAUACCAAGGAACACCUCUGGCCCUGCACACUGGGUGCUCGCUGCCCAGGAACUCAGGUCUUUCUGCUGCUGUUCUUUCUACCAGGGGCAGGUCUCUAUGGAAUCCACUUCCCAGCUCACAAUUGGGACCAUGGUGUGGUCUAGGUCAGGUGCCAUAAGCUGGCUGCAGAGGAGGCUUGGAAAGUGUACAUUUGUAUUUUUAUCUGCUACACUGGGAGGAAGGGAAUUCCCCAGGCAGAAGAAGGGGAUUAGAUGCUGAGCAUUCAAGGAGAAUGACAUAUGUCCUUUCUAAGUGAACUGAUGGCUGUGAAGAAGAGGGGUGGUAGAUGAGGCUGGAAAGAAUUUUGACUUCAUCCUAUAUGCAGUAAGGAGCUCUGAGCCACUGGUGAUUUUGAGCAAGAGAAUGACAGGUAAGUAGAUAAAAUGUGGAGAGGUGGGAGAUGGGAAGUUAAGAGAAGGCAGGUGGCAUAGAGGACUUAAACAUAGUAUUGUCAGCAAAAAUGGAAAAGAAGGCCAGAUGGAAGGGACCUGAAAGUCACAGGACCAAGCUCCUAGUAUCUACCUUGCUGUGUGGAAAUAUGGCCUGGGCAAUUGGGAGGUAACAUAGUGUAGUUGUUCAAAGCAUGGUCUUUGAAAUAAAGACUGCCUGGUUUAAAUCCUGACUGUACCACUUUUUAUGUGACCUUGAACAAAUUACUUUCUCUGUUUGGGUUUCUUCAUCUUUAAAAUGGGGAUAACUCCUUUCUUCAUUGGAUUCUUGUGAGGAUUAAAAUAGUUGAUGUAUGUGGAGCAUUUAACAUAAUGUCCUGCCCCAGUGUAAGCACACACUGAAUGGUGUGUGUGAGUAUGUGUAUGAAUGAUGGAAUGAUGAAUGACAGAACGAUGAACAGAUUGGAGGUACAGUGUGUAACGAUGUGUUCGGCACAUUUGGCAUUUUAGGUGGAGCAUUCUUCUGGAGCUGAUGUGCAUUCAACUGAAAUUAGGUAAAGGAAGCUGAGUUGAAUAGUUGGUGAGGUAGGAGAACUGGGAGAGUGUUGAGUCAUGGAUGCCAAAGAUAGAAAAAGUUCUAAGCACCAAAAUAGUAGUUACCUGCAUCCUCUGCUGCAGAAAAAUCAGCGAUGAGUGAGAAGUUGCCCUUGGAGUUAGCAAUUACGUGGUCACAGGUGAUCAAGGACCAGGCAGAUUCACUGCCUGGUAGGAAUGGUCUCAGUGCUUAAUAACCAUGAUGAUGUAAUUGUGCAUGUAUGUUAAAGGGAAAAUAAAAAAUAAAAUAUGCUGUGAAAUUUUUGUCCACAAAAAAAACUGUCUAGCUUAAUAUAGAGAAAUAUGGAAGAGGAUAGAAUAUUUAUAGACAUAGAAAAAAAGAUAUGCAAAUGAUAUUUUAUGCUGCUUGGAAGAAUUAAGCUAGCGAAAUCUCCAGUAUCAUCUUUUAAGACAUUUUGUAGCUAUUCUCAGUGUUCUGAUUCAUUUAUGUUUUCUUGGAACGUGAGGAGAGAGGUGGGUCUCUUACCUGCGAUGUUUUGGUUCUUUCCAUUACUAAAAUAUUCAUGGUGAACUUGAGAGUGAUCUUGUCUUGAUUUCAGAUUAGAAAUCAGUGAGUAAGGAGACUUGGCCUUAUUCCUGAGGCCGUACUUGAUUGAUGUGAAGGACUUUUUACUGCCUUUACAUCAUCGCUGGGCCACAGGCUGUGAAGGGAGCCAGUCAGCCUCCGCGUCCUGACUGCUCCGCUUAGGAAACUCGAAAGGUUUCUUCUCCAGCUGGCUCCGAGAACCGGAGCCACGUGAGCUUUGAGCCUGUACCAUGAGUCUCUCCUGUCUGCACGCAGAGCCCGGCCAAAACUCCGCAGCGUGUUUCCCUUCAUCUCUGUAGGCCGACAGGAACGUCAGGGUGCUCUUUCCAGACAAAUUAAUCUCACUUCAGAAAGCCUCCCUAGGACUUAGCCAGGCAGCAUACCUUGUCCUUUUAUUGUUUGGACUUACUCUGUGUUUUGACAUCCUUAACUCCCUCAGUGUUUCUUCUAGUUAAAAGUAGACUAAAGUUAUUUUUGCCGAUUAUUCCUCUGUGGCCAUUUGUGGGGAAAGAAAGGAUCGUUGGAGCAGAUUUGUGUGGAACGGCUUGCCUGG